rnacentral:misc_RNA from 1 species
GGUUGAUCCUUCUCAAGAAGUUCAAGAAAAUUAUAACUUUUUGCUCCAGCUUCAAGAGGAGCUGCUGAAGGAAUUAAGACAUGGUGUGAAGAUAUGUGACGUGUAUAACGCUGUCAUGGACGUGGUUAAAAAGCAGAAGCCAGAACUGCUGAACAAAAUUACCAAAAACCUAGGGUUUGGGAUGGGAAUUGAAUUCCGUGAAGGCUCCCUAGUAAUCAAUAGCAAAAAUCAAUACAAACUGAAGAAAGGAAUGGUUUUCAGCAUCAAUUUAGGAUUCUCAGACCUGACUAACAAGGAGGGGAAAAAGCCAGAAGAGA